GGCUCGUUGGUCUAGGGGUAUGAUUCUCACUUCGGGUCUGAGAGUUCCCGGGUUCAAAUCCCGGACGAGCCC
rnacentral:tRNA from 1 species